UGCCAGAGCCAUAUCUCCCUGCAUUUCUCACCUGGUUUCCACUGAUGCUAAGCAGGUUUGAGCCUGGCCAGUACCUGGAUGGGAGACCUCCUGGGGAAAACUAAGGUUGCUGGUGG
rnacentral:rRNA from 1 species